CAGUAGCCGCGGUAAUACGUAGGGUGCAAGCGUUAAUCGGAAUUACUGGGCGUAAAGCGUGCGCAGGCGGUCCGCUAAGACAGAUGUGAAAUCCCCGGGCUCAACCUGGGAACUGCGUUCUGAACUGGGUGACUAGAGUGUGUCAGAGGGAGGUAGAAUUCCACGUGUAGCAGUGAAAUGUGUAGAGAUGUGGAGGAAUACCGAUGGCGAGGGCAGCCUCCUGGGAUAACACUGACGUUCAUGCUCGAAAGCGUGGGUAGCAAACAGGAUUAGAUACCCCAGUAGUCCCUGUCUCUUAUAC
rnacentral:rRNA from 1 species